rnacentral:rRNA from 1 species
CCUACGGGGGGCUGCAGUGGGGAAUAUUGGACAAUGUGCGAAAGCCUGAUCCAGCCAUGCCGCGUGUGUGAAGAAGGCCUUCGGGUUGUAAAGCACUUUCAGUGGGGAAGAAAGCCUUGGGGCUAAUACCCUCGAGGAAGGACAUCACCCACAGAAGAAGCACCGGCUAACUCCGUGCCAGCAGCCGCGGUAAUACGGAGGGUGCGAGCGUUAAUCGGAAUUACUGGGCGUAAAGCGCGCGUAGGCGGUCUGAUAAGCCGGUUGUGAAAGCCCCGGGCUCAACCUGGGAACGGCAUCCGGAACUGUCAGGCUAGAGUGCAGGAGAGGAAGGUAGAAUUCCCGGUGUAGCGGUGAAAUGCGUAGAGAUCGGGAGGAAUACCAGUGGCGAAGGCGGUCUUCUGGACUGACACUGACGCUGAGGUGCGAAAGCGUGGGUAGCAAACAGGAUUAGAUACCCGUGUAGUC